CUGCACCUGCACGGCGUCUGCCUCUUCGUUCUCCGUGCGGUGGACCACGCGCACGUACAGAACCGGACUGAUGCAGAUUGCAAGCUGAAACUUGCCUCUCACUGCGCCGCGCCUCGUUGGUUUGGUUGAUAAGCCAAUACUAUUGAUUAAUUUAUUAUAAAAAAAAUACUGCUAAAUGAAUAGUAGAUUCGGCUGAUAAACUUACGUUUUGUUUAGUUCUUUUUUUUGUUCAAAGUACUGUAGCAGUUUCAUUUUUAUUUGGUAAUUAUUGUCUAAUUAUGGACUAACUAGACUCAAAAGAUAUAUCUUAUGAUUUACAGAAAAAACUGUAUAAUUAAUUUUUAUUUAUAUUUAUAUUUAAUGCUCUAUACAUAUGCCGCAAGAUUUAAUGGACGAGAAAUCUUGAAAAGUUUUAAAUUUUUGGUUGAACUGAACAAGGCCUUAAGCGAGUCUAGGACUAGGACUAAGGGUUCUCAGCUCUCUGGUCAUCAGGUCAUGGUCACGUGAGCAGGUCGCCGCUUGCAGCUCACAGUCACAGCUAUUGCAAUUUGCAGCAGCAAGGCCGGCGAGCUCGUCCAGUGUACAGCUACUGUACUGUACAGGUAGCUUCACGAUCCUCGUCGUUGCGAGUUGCGACCUAUAAACUACUACAGGUGGUUGGAGACUUGGAGGUGGUUAGGGGCAUUAAUCAGGCCGGGGUGGAUGCUUCAGCUGUCAGUAGUGUCGCGUCACCUGAGAUCGCGACUGCUCUGGGGGCAGUCCUGGGCCAGCCAGACCGAUGUCUGUUUCCUGUUUCCUCCAUGGAUGAAGAGGUCUCCUCCUCGUCGGUUCGUCACGGUGAAUCGAGGGGGCUGCUACAGUCCGCCCAUUCGGACCGGGGCCACCGUCCGGCAGCUUCCCGCCUAUUUUUCCCGCCGCUUGUAUCACAUGCAAAUUUAAUUAGCAGCUGGCAGAGGUAGCCUACGUUAGACAGAGGUAGUAUGCAUAAAGCUAAAGUUGUCAUAUCUAGCUGGCCCACCACAAUCAAUUCAGCCUUCAGCUCAUGCACGUGAUUUUUAACGAAACAAAAAAAAAGUCAUAACUACUAAACCAAAUAUUAAAAUUAAAUUUCGAUUUGACCAUCGAGUUCCUUACAAUAAAUCCUUCAAAACAAGAUCUCACAUGAAUAUAUUUAGAUAACUUUUUUUAACGAACAUUUAUUUUAUAAAGAUAGAACAUUUUUAUUUAUUUAUCAGAAAUGAUGUUCUAAGUUCAAAAAAAUAAUGUUCUAUCUUUGUAAGAAGAGUGUUCGUUCAUAAAACUGGUAUUAUAAUAUACAUAAAAAUAAAUAUAUAAUAACAUAAAUAAAAAUAAUAAAAUGUAGAGCAAAAACAUAAGACAAAAAAAUAAAACAUGUUAUAGAAAAAAAUUAAAAGAAUAUCACAUAGAUGCUUUUUAAACAUCCUAAAAAUAUGCUAUAGAACACCACAUGUAUACUAAACGAACAUUGUUAGAAAUACCAUAGAACAUCAUUUAAUGCAUUAUAGAACAUCACAUAUAUAUUAUGUGAACACUAAUAAAAUACAUCACAUAACAACAUAUGUGUAGUAAGUGAACAUCACUAAAUAUAUCAUAGAACAUUACUAAAUAAAAUAUAGAACAUCACAUAUAUUAUGUGAACAUUACUAAAUACAUCAUAGAAAAUAAAAUGUAUAUUAAGUGAACAUCACUAGAUAUAUCAUAGAACAUUACUAAAUACAAUAAGAACAUCGCAUAUAUAUUAAGUGAACAUCACUAGAUAUAUCAUAGAACAUUACUAAAUACAAUAUAGAACAUCGCAUAUAUAUUACGUGAAUAUCACUAAAUACAUACCACAGUAUUAUAUGUUUAGUAUGUGAACAUAAAAAACACCAUAGAACAUCUCGUUUAUAAUUAUUAGUAAAGAAACAAAGAACAUUACAUGCACAACAUGCGAGCAUCAAAAUAAUAAGAAAAUAAAAAAAUAAAAGAAACAUAAAAUAUAAAAAGUUAAAAGAGUAUUAAAAAACAUAAAACAAAAAAAUAGUGAAGCAUGAAAAUAUAAAAUAAAUGAAAAGGAAAAACUAUAGAAAACAUUAAGUAAAAAGAGAAAAAAAAAGAAUAAACAUAAAAACAAAAUUAAAUGAAGUAAACAAAAAAAGAAAUAUGAAAACAUAAAAAAAUCACAUGAAACAAAAAUAAUAAAUUGAAGCAAGGAAAGAAAAAUAAUAAGAAAAGGAAAGGAAAGAAAAUAAAAAGCAAAAGAAAAAAAUAAAGAUAAACAAUUUAAAAAAUGAAAAGAAUAAUAAAAACACAUAAAACAAAAAAAAUAAAAAAUAAAUUAAGCACAAAAAGGAAAUAAAAAGAAAAAAUAAAUGAAGCACCAAAAGAAAAGAAAAACCAAAAAAAGAAAAUGGCACUUCGCCCAUACGCCGAAAAACAUAGGUUAGCCCAUCGCCCGUGGACGACGGUCGCGAGACGGCAACAACAGUUUGUGGAGACACAAGGGCUAAAUAUAGUAUAAAUAAAGAAUAAUAAUAAUAAAUUGAAUGAAAUAAAUACAAAAAAUAAUAUUGAUCCACGCGCUUGUAUGUAGAUUUUUUAGUUUUUUUCUAUAUGUAACUAAUAUCAGUCUACUAAAAGGAUUGAACAACUACUACCCAACAGGAUCAUCCAGAGGCAUUUGUUGUGCUUCCACCGCAUGCAUACCGCAAAAAACGAUCCAAUAAAUACCUUCAUAACUAACGCUAUAUUAAUGUGUUGGUAAAUAAAACAAAAAAAUAAUAAUGAAGAAAGGAAAUAGAAAGUAAUAAGAAAAUAAAAUAAAAUAAAUAAAUUGAAGCAGAAAAAGGAAUAGAAAAAUAAAUAAAGAAAAUAAAAAAGUAAAAAAUAAAGAUAAAAUAAACAUAGUAAAAUAAAAAUAAGAUAAACAAAAAAAGUAAAAGUAAAAUCAAAUUGAAGCUAUAAAAAGAAAAUAAGAAAAAAAAGAACAGAAACAAAAAAAUAAAGAAAAUAAAAAUACCAAGAAAAAAGGAAAAGAAACAUAAAGAAAAAGAAAAAAAAGAAAACUAGACAACAGCGAAUGAGAGGGAAAAAAUAAUAAAGAAAAAGAAAAGAAGAUAAAAUAAGGAAAAAAGAAAAAAUAGGAAACAAAAAAGAAAACAUACGCACCUGGAUGAAAACCGUCGCCCGUACAUGUGAGUAGCAGCUGCUCGCGUCCACACGCGGAAACAUCGCGCGGGAAUCAUCGGACCGAGACUCCCGUCCGAACGUUCGGACGGGAAGAAUCCCGGUGAAUCGACGCCGCCGGCCGAAGCGAGCAGCCAACAGAUAAGGGAAAGCAUUGGUCAGGGGCGGCGCGAUAGCAUGCGAUGAACUAACCACCUUUUGGAGAGCGCGGUGGUCAUUGGUUAGAAUCCAUGUUUUAAAUAGCGAGCUAAGACCAAGGUGUUUAGUGUUUUAUAAAUCAUAAUUAACGUACUUUAGCGGUAAAAUUAUACAUGAAUGCAAAUAGUAGUGUAAUUUUUUUCAAGCUAUUUCAAGCUAUAGCGACAAAAAUAGCGGGCUAUUUUUUUUCCAUGGUUAGAAUACCCAGAACUCCAUUCAUUUGCAAAACGUACAGACUUGUCAGUUGCAAGGGCUAAGGAUUCAGCCUCUUCUUCUUCUGAAUUCUUGAGCAUUCCAGUUUCAAAAGUUGUUUUUCUCCGGACGCAGCAGCUAGACCGCAGAAACUCUUUAAUGAUAUCCAAUUAUCUCAAGAGGGUGUGAUUCUUGGACUUUGACGAGACACACCACUAUCCACCCUGCCAAAUGGCUCCCAGAAAACCUCUUGCCAGUGCAGGCACAAAGUGUUCUUUUGGCUGCUAUUCAAGGUUAGAUUAAGCACCGGGAACAUCUUGAGAAGCAAGAACUUGAACUUGGAAAGUUUUAAUUGCGUCCUCUGCACAGGCAAUGUAGAAGAAACAGUUCAACAUCUUUUCCAAGACUGUCCAUUUGCACACACAAAAAAAAUGUUGGGGGUAUUCUGAACUUAAUUUCCAAGACUGUCCAUUU
rnacentral:lncRNA from 1 species